CCCUAGAGGCGGAAACAUGAAAAAUUUUGCUGCCAUUUAUUUAUUCCUAGAGGAAAGUUACUGAACGCAAGAAGUGCAACUAAAACACAGUUGGUAGAUGUGAUAUAUCUCUUCGAUACUAUCGAAAAGCGAUAUUGCGAUUCUCGAAUUUUGAAUCGCGAGAAUCACAAAGUACAUCGUGACCGAUCGUGGAGUUGCAUUCAUACGUUGCUGCAUAUUUUUCGUAAUUAUUUUUGUCUAAAAAAGUGAAUUUUGUACACGAAAAGUUAUCGUGAGUGUUUCGUAAAGUGUUUAUCGUAACGUGAACAUUGUGUACAAUCACUAUUAUUCGACAAUAUCGUUAUUUCGACAUCAGUGAUCCGCCUCUGUGCGCUGGAAUCAACGGACUUUCCUUUUCCCACAUAUCACGUCGUUAUUUUCUGAUUUUCUCGCCGGAAUAAUAUAGUGGAAUCGCAAUUGACGUAUAGUCAUCAUCAAUAUUUUUUUCAUUGGAUCAUUCAAUAAACUUGGCAUUUGGAUCUUCUGGAUAUUUCAUCGCUUCCAGUCUUCCACCACUGGGUGAGUAAAAAAAUUAGAUGCAUCAUAAAAUAAAGAUGAGAUUAGAUUGGCAAAGACAUUUCAUAUUCAACGAGAAUUAAAAAAGAUAACUAAAAAUUAAAAAUUAUUUUUUUAAAAUUAUUUAAUUCAGUAUUAUCGAAUUUCUUUUAAUUGCAAUACACAAAUGUUUUUGCCAAAAUAAUUUUCAUAUAAUCUCCGAUUUAUGCAAAAUGUUGCGCAACAAAUUUUAAUUAAAAAAUAACGAAGUUUUUUUUCUAAAGAAAAGCUCUUUAUUUCGUUCACGUUCAAUUGUUUAUAAUUUAAAAAUUAUGGAUUUGUCGAUAUUUUUGUUCAAAAUUGUUUUUAAUUGAACAAUAAAAGUUAGAAAUAAUAACUCAUAAAGUUCGAGAAAUUCUAUGACUCGUAAAAUUGAUCGAUAUUAUUUACUGUAAUACGCGCAUUAAUGUUUAUUUCGAUGUAAUAUUUCACGUUCAUCAGGAUUGAUUUCGGUCCAUGUCCUUUAUCGGAAACUUCAUUCGUGGAAGACGGUAGCGCGGUAACGACUUUAUUAGGGUUAUCGACGUGCGCACGUGCCUCACCCUCUGACAUUUUAACUCUUGACAUGUUCGUUAUGGAAAGUGGGCCGCGCCAGCGACGGACGCGGCGCAGUUAAUUGCUAAUUAUCUUACGGUUUUAAUCAAUCAGUCCGAACGACACAUUGUGCAGUCACAUGGCAGAUGUUGCGCAACUGGUAUAGUCCUUUUGCCGUAAUCAAGUCCAGAUCGUUCGUAUAAUUGGUCGGUUACGUGAUCCCAUAAAUACACGCCCGCGUCGAUUACUCUCGUCGCACACUUGUUACAGUAUUACGUGAACUUCAUUAUUCCGCGUUCGUUGUAAUUCAGCGGAUACGAGGGUGGAAUCUGUGCGCAUGAGAUCGGUGCGAGAAAGCAGUUCUCGUUGUUGUAGGCGUCGCGCGUCUCUCUUUCUCUCUCUCUCGGCGACGAAAUUGCAACCUGACGUCCUGGAAGAUAUAUUUCACGCCUUGUUGCGAGUAAGUGGCUUCUUCCACGCAGGAUUAAUGCCGUAAGGCGGGCUACGUUAUGCAUAGCGCAUAAUACUCGCUCUGCUAAUUUAUUUUUCACAAAAUAUUACUAGAGACGCGCGCGCAUAAAGUAGAACAUAUUAUUAUUAAGAGAAAACAAACAUGUACAAGAGGGAUGUUGCAAAUAAGUUGUAUAAAAACAUUUCUAAUUAUUAGAUGUUUUUAAAUGCUUUUGACGUUGUUUAAAUUUUGCUUUCCGUGCGUAUAUUAUGCGUAAAAUACAAAAAAAAAAAAA